CUGAGAUUGACGUGACAAUGGUUAACAGUCGGGUAGAAGAACACAGCAGACUAGGCAGUAUCUGGAGGAAAGAAGAAGUCACUGUUUGGACUAUAGACCUUCUAUAGGAUUGGAGUGGCGGGUGAAGGAGGAGAAGCAGCAGCAACACCAGGAUGAGCUGGAUAUGGCUCUAUCCCAAACUGGGGCCUCCUGGCAAGUGAGGAGCAGAAGUUGCAGAGACGCUGGAGCAGUGUCAGCAGGGAUUCCUGGCUAUAGUAGGCCCAGAGCGGGAACCUUGUAAAAGUCUUGGAGCCAUGUUUGAGACUCCAGCUGAGGAAAGUGAACUCUAUUCAAGCACUUUCUUCUUGUACCUAAAAAUGGCACUAAAUUGUGGCCACAGAACACUUUUUACUGUAUCUUCUUAAAUAUAUAUGGCCAUGAAUAAAUCAUUCAAACAAUUCACAGUAGUUUUAAAAUUUUAAAAGAUUAGAAAAUGAUGUCCAAAAGGAUCCAAGUGCCCUCAUUCAAAAGUCAUUGAAAACUAGCAUGCAGGUACAGCCAGCAAUUCAGAAGGCUGAUUUGUAUUUAUUGUAAGAGGAUUUGAGCACAGGAGCAAAGAAAUCUUGCUUUAAUAAAUGAUACAAUAGUUUACACCAAAUUAACAACUGUCAUUGCCACUAUGCAUCAUAUUCCGAUUUAAAUGCUUUUUUGUUUUCCUAAUUGUUAGUUCUUAUGAGCAUAAAUACCAAUACUCAGAAUAAAUUUUAUAGUGUUAGAUAUGCAUUUAUACUUUUACUUCAUCUUAUUUACUUGUAACGCAACUACUUUUUAUUCCUCUUUUAUAAUCUAAGAUUUGUACCUAGGUACUUGUAUCUAAGAUGCCACUAUAAAAGGCAGACAUUGUAAAAGCAUUUCACUGUACUUCUACAAUGGAGUACAUGUGACAUUCACACCUAUUUGUGUGUGUGUACACAUGUAUGAGACUAAAAGAGAACAUUGAGUCAUACCUUAACAAAAAAAUUAAAAAGCCAACAAAAACAGAGUACACUAUAUAAUUUGUCUACAACAACAUUGGGUGUGGCAUAUACAAACAGCUUUCUAAAUGUCAAAUAAUCUCUUUCAAGAGGGUAAACAAAGCAAAUAACAUUGCAGAAAGGAAAAUCUUGUAUAAAUAUACAUGAAACUCACAGGGAGAAGUAGCAGACGUUUAUGAAGAACUUUCAAACAUAUGGAUAAAUGAGAAAUAUUGGAUUUCCUCAACGCUUUUGCAUCCGUAUGGGUAGGUGAGGUGACAGCGUAGUAACCAAUGUCACAGAAACUAGUAAUCCAGAACUCCAAGCUAAUGUUCUGGGGACUUGAAUUUAAAUUCUAACAUGACAGAUGGUGAAACUUGAAUUUAAAAAAUAUGUCCUGGAAUUGGAAAGCUAGCCUCAUGGCAAUCAUGCAAUUACUGUUCAUUGUCAGGAUAACCCAUCCAGUUCACUAACACUCUUAAGGGAAGGAAAUCUGGUCUUGUCUACAUGUGAUUCUGGAUCCACAGGAUUGUGGUUGACUCUUAACUAACCUCUGGUAAUUAGGGAUAUGCAAUAAAUGCUAAUCAACUAGUGAAGCCCACAUUAAUUGUGAAAGGACUGGAUUAUAAAAGGAAAGAAGUGUUGUAACAUUUAUGUAAGAUGUUGGUGAGACCACGCCUGGAGUAUUGUGGCCAGUUUUGGUCUCCCUACUUGAAGAAGAAUGUGGUGGCAUAGGAAGCCAAUCAGAGGAAUUCACAAGGUUGAUUCCAGAGAUGAAACGGCUGUUGUACGAGGAGCAGUUGAAUAGCUUAGGCUUGUACAGCCUGGAAUUCAGAAGAAUGAGGGGGAGUCUGAUUGAGAUAUAUAAAAUGUUAAGUGGGAUUGAUUAAAUUUGGAUGUAGAACUGAUGCUCUCCCUUGUGGGACAGUCUUGAACAAAAGAAAAUAGAUAGAGAUUGAGAGGAUGUAGAUUCGGACCUGAGAUGGGGAGAAACUAUUUCUCACUGAGGAUUGUGAGUCUGUAGAACUCACUGCCGCAGAGUGCAGUGUAGGCAGAAUCAAUCAACAGAUUCAAGAAAGAAAUAGAUAGCUUUCUGAUGAAAAGUGGGAUAAAGGACACAUGGGGUGCAGAUAGGAAAGUGGAGUUGAGACCAGGAUAAGAUCAGCCAUGAUUGUGUUAAAUGGCAGAGCGGGCUCGAAGGGGGUGAACAGCCUGCUCCUUCUCCUAAUUCCAACAUUCCUGUGAUCCUAAGUAUCCCAUGAAUGAACAAGAAAAAGCUGCUAACUAUUCCAGAAGUAAGGAUUAAUUGUCCAAGAAAUGAAGGGCAAAUUGUGACAAUUGUCAUUACAAUAUACUGAUAAGGAAUAGACAUCACAACUGACUGCGAUAAGUAAUUUGAGAGACUGGAGGGAACACAACUUUGAAUUGUAUUUGAGGGAGAACACUAUAAACCAGGGAAGCUCUAUAUAUCAGAGGUGUUAUCUAUUGUGACAGAGCUAAAUAUUAAAUACACAGUGGAGGAGCUUAGCAAAGCUGUUGUUACUCAGUUACAAUGAACAAAGCUUUACAUAUUAAUACUUGACUAUCUGAAUUAAUCAGAAAUAGGAAUCUGCCCCUUCUGUAAUGUCUGUACACUUCUCCUAAAUCUGGUCUUGUUGGAGGGAGGAAGCAUUCAGCUGAGCAUGUGUAUGAUGCAAAGAUUGUGAUCACAUACAAAAGCAAGGGUGACGGCAAUGCUUGCAAGAACUAAUGAGGCAACUUCCUG